CUUCCUCGUUUCCUAAUUGAAUACCCUUUAUUUCUUUUUCUUGCCUGAUUGCUCUGGCUAGAACUUCCAGUACUAUGUUGAAUAGGAGUGGUGAGAGAGGGCAUCCUUGUCUAGUGCCCGAUUUCAAAGGGAAUGCUUUCAGUUUUUGCCCAUUCAGUAUGAUAUUGGCUGUUGGUUUGUCAUAAAUAGCUUUUAUUAUUUUGAGAUAUGUUCCAUCAAUACCGAGUUUAUUGAGGGUUUUUAACAUAGAGGGCUGCUGAAUUUUGUCAAAGGCUUUCUCUGAAUCAAUUGAGAUAAUCAUGUGGUUUUUGUCUUUGGUUCUGUUUAUGUGGUGAAUUCUGUUUAUAGACUUGUGUAUGUUGAACCAGCCUUGCAUUCCUGGGAUGAAUCCUACUUGAUCAUGGUGGAUAAGCUUUUUGAUGUGCUGUUGCAAUCAGCUUUCCAGUAUUUUAUUGAAGAUUUUUGCGUUAUGUUCAUCAUGGAUAUUGGCCUGAAGUUUUCUUUUCUUGUUGAGUCUCUGCCGGGUUUUGGUAUCAGGAUAUUGGCCUGAAGUUUUCUUUUCUUGUUGGGUCUCUGCCGGGUUUUGGUAUCAGGAUGAUGUUGGUCUCAUAAAAUGAUUUGGGAAGGAUUCCCUCUUUUUGGAUUAUUUGGAAUAGUUUUAGAAGGAAUGGUACUAGCUCCUCUUUGUGUGUCUGGUAGAAUUCGGCUGUGAACCCGUCUGGACCUGGGCUUUUUUUGUGUGGUAGGCUCUUAAUUGCUGCCUCGACUUCUGCCCUUGUUAUUGGUCUAUUCAUAGUUUCAGCUUCCUCCUAAUUUAGGCUUGGGAGGAUACAGGAGUCCAGGAAGUUAUCCAUUUCUUCCAGGUUUACUAGUUUAUGUGCAUAGAGUUGUUUGUAAUAUUCUCUGAUGAUGGUUUGAAUUUCUGUGGAAUCUGUGGUGAUUUCCCCUUUAUUGUUUUUUAUUGCAUCUAUUUGGUUGUUCUCUUUUUUCAUUUUAAUCAAUCUGGCUAGUGGUCUGUCUAUUUUGUUGAUCUUUUCAAAAAACCAGCUCUUGGAUUUAUUGAUUUUUUGGAGGGUUUUUCGUGUCUCAAUCUCCUUCAGUUCAGCUCUGAUCUUAGUUAUUUUUUGUCUUCUGCUGGGUUUUGAGUUUUUUUGAUCUUGUUCCUCUAGCUCUUUCCAUUUUGAUGAUAGGGUGUCAAUUUUGGAUCUCUCCAUUCUCCUCAUAUGGGCACUUAUUGCUAUAUACUUUCCUCUAGAGACUGCUUUAAAUGUGUCCCAGAGAUUCUGGCAUGUUG
rnacentral:lncRNA from 13 species